rnacentral:rRNA from 1 species
AAAUACAGGUGCCAGCAGCCGCGGUAAUACCUGAGUGACAAGCAUUAUUCGCAAUGACUGGGUGUAAAGGAUGCGUAGGAGAUUUUAAAAAGUAACUGACUAAAUUCUUGGAAAAGAUGGGCUUUUACUGUUUAUAAAUAUUUGAGUAUCUAUAGAGAGUUGAGGUGUGUCUAAAUAGUGAUAAAAUACUAAGAUUUAGCCAUUCUUGCCAAUCGUAUAAGUAACGGCUCUUAUAGAUUCUGACUCUGAGGCAUUAAAGUAAGGGAAAUAAACAGGAUUAGAGACCCUGGUAAUCCUUACCCUAAAUGAUGAUUAUUUAAAGUUAACGCUAAAUAAUCCACCAGGUGAGUAUAGUUGCAAAAUUCAAAGUUAACAGAAUUGGCGGGGGUUAGCACGAAUGGUGGAACAUGUGGUUUAAUGCGAUAAUCCACGUAGAACCUUACCACAAUUUAAAAAGCAUGAUAGG